GUUGUUUCAAGGGAAAUCAGUUCCAUGCACUUUGGAUGCUCUUUCCACUGUGGGCUUGAACAGCAAUAGAUCAACUAUUGUUUUCAGGUGAUCUGUUUGGUGCCUGCAGUUCCCAUUUCUUCACCCUCACAAGUUUCACAGUGGCUGUUGUGCAAGGUAGAGUCCGGACAGAAGACGGAGAUCAUUGACAAAGCCCAGAGACCUCCCCUCGUCUCCUGGAAAAAUCCAUACAAUAUGGAAGUCCGCAUUUUUCUUUAUUGGUUCACCAGUUAUGUGAACCCCUGGAUAUAUCACAUCUUCAUCCUAAAUGCUGCAUAAUCUAGUACCAGUGUUCUUUAGAGAAGUGCCUAGAAUUACUUUUGCUAGAUUAAAAUGUGGUGUUGUAUUAGUAGAUGUUAUUGAAAGAUGAAGACAAAUCUUUUUUAUCAUUCUUAUGAUGAAAUAAAUACAUCUGAAUCUUAUUUUUAUUAUAGGAACCUGGAUUUUGCCUGUGUCCUGUACUUGUUUUCCAGGUGCAGUACCAGCAAACUAGCAUCUUUGUUUAAACUGCUGUAGUAAGGAGAAAUAGGCCAGUAAAUGUGUUACACUUUACAUAGAUACUACUAGACUGCAGAGUGGCUGUACCACUCAAUUUAAGUUCAGAGUAUGAUGUAUGUUGUCUUUUAAUUUAUAGGGGCAUUCAUUUACUUAUGCAGCAAAACACACAUAGGUUAUCCCAAGGUAUUAAGGAAUUGAGACAAUGACAGUGCUUUACUCAGUGGCAAAGUACUGUAGGAAAUGCAUGAGGUCCCCGAUAAUUGUUAUUUCAGUCCAUGGCAAAUUACUCAACAUGCUUUGCUCUUCAUCUACCAAUUAACCUACAAUUCACUGGGUGUGAGCUGGGGUGAAGGAUAAGGCAGAAGAAGCAGCAAGGAGCAGUUAGUAGGACAGAAUGUGGUCACUGACUGAGGGCAAUGAUGCCGCACAUCCCAGGGGCAGAGGACCCAGCAACCGAAACGGGAUAGAAAAGAUGGUCACUGACUGAGGGCGACGAUGCCGACACAUCUCAGGGGCAAAGGACCCAGCGACCGAAGACAGGAUAGAAAAGAGGUUGCUGACUGAGGGCGACGAUGCCGCACAUCCCAGGGGCGGAGGACCCAGCAAACGAAAACACAUAUGAGGGUUAUGACUCGGAAAGCCGCCCCUCGAGAGGAGAUGAGAGAGGUACCCAGCAUCUGAGGCUUCUGUAAGGGGCUCUCGUAAAACCCCUGAUUGGCCGAGACGUCAUGCUGCCUGGGACCUGAAAAUAAGGACAAAGCAUUGAGGUUAGUAUAGGACUCAGCACGAGUGACCAUGUCCUGAAGAGAGGCAGAAUAGAACAGAGCCUCGAGUGAGAAGAUGAGCGCAGGAGCUGCGACAGGACAGAGUUUGGCCGGGGGUCCGCUCUGACUCACGUGGUGAGAACCCCCCUGAAGGUAAGGGAGGCGGAUGCCUAGCCCUGAGGUCGGGGAAGUGAGACUCACUUGCCCCCAAGAGAUGACCGAUGCGAAGGCAUGUAAGAAGGUGGAGGAGGGGAGGAGAAGGAAAACGAAACACUAGACAGAAAAGGUGCAGGUGAUCAGGUCUUAAAUACUAAAUAGAUGCUAAUUAACGGGAGAUUAGAAAAUUAAAAGAUUAGAAGAUUAGAGGCCCCCAGCUCCACGCCCCCUGAACCUCGCAAGCUAACAUGAAAAAAAUAUCUGUAAAUGAAAAAAUCAAAAACAUGUCGGGAGGGAUCUACUAAUCAUCCUUGCUGGGAUUGUUUUGUUAAGAUUGAUAUUCCAAACGACUAUCUUUCCCGCCAGAUACAUUGUGUCUCUCGCUUGGCAGACCUGGAUGUUGUUUUUGGACAUUGACAGGCAGAAUAUGUGGGGGUGAUGUUAUCAUUUCAGACCAGCUCUGGAGAUAAUGUUUAAUAAUUAUUGUAGAUGUUAUUGUACACUGUGUCACAGAGGGAAUGUUUUUGAGCUUAGAAUACUUUUGUAGAACUUCCAACAUUUGUGUGAUGUUAUGUACAACUGCUCAAAGUGACCCCUUGUAACCCCAGAAGAAAUUCUAGGAAAUGUCACACCAUAUUUCAACAUCACUUUUUGAUCUUACUUAAUAAAAUAAGGGAUUUGUUAUCAUUACGGCAGAGUGGAAAAAGCUGCCCAGCAUCCUGAAGUUACAUUUUGAAAGCAUUUCUGCUAUACACGGUCUCCAGAAUUUUGUUGCCCUAAGUCCCGGUUGAUGGUAGCUAAGAUGAUUAAGCCAUUUUAUUUUGAUUAAAAGUAGUUUACAACAGACAAAUAGAUUCUCCAAAUACAUUUGAUCAUAAAUUUAGAGGUAAAAUUGUAUUACCUGAAAUAUGUAGUACUUAAGUGACUGUAUCAUUUUAUAUAACAGUAAGACUGUCAAGUCCGUGGAUAAUAAUUAACACAGUAACUGCUGAAAUGUUUUGGACAUAAUAUUAAUAGGUGCAUUUAAAAAAGAAAAAAAAACAAAA